rnacentral:other from 1 species
GGUAAUCUGUGAUGUACGAAUUUUCCCUAUCAGUAUUGACCGAACAUUUUUAUUGAUAUCUCGGGAUCCGUCCGGUGUCUCUGUUGGUAACAUGCCUUAUCAUUUGGUAGUUCAAAACGGUAGACCGUGGAGCCCACCUGCUUGUCUUUGCGGGAUCAAUACACCGGGAUAAAAAACGGCAUCUACGGAGAAUGC